AAAAAAAAAAAAAAAAAAAAAAAUCCAUUCAUGUUUAGAAUGUCUUUAGCUUGAAGGCACAGAAUGAGAAGGAAUAAUGAGAGGAUAAGUAGAUGAUGUGUGGAAGACUUUUUAAGUUUGGUCAGUGUAUCAUAAACAACUUAGAUUAUGCCGUAAAGGAAUAAGAUUGUAUUCCCCAAAUUUUAAUUAUCCUCAAUAAUGAAUUGUUUUUUGAUUAUUUUAAGGCUGUCUGAUGAAGCUUGCUUCACUUUAGUAAACACUUUCAACUUUGACUUUGGGAUUUUUUGCGAUUUAGGUUGCUUGAUGAUUCUAAUUAAGAAUUAUCAGCUAAUUAUUACUGAAAGUAACUGAAAUAGAGUUUUAUUAUAUUUCAUUCUUAGAUAUACUGUAUAUGAGUAUACAUAUACAGUAUGUGCAUGUAUGCUUGUGUGUGUGUCUGUGCAUAAAAGUUUGGGGGAUUUGUCAAAAUUUAAGUAUGGCUACUCUUUCUGCUAAAUUUGAACAUAUUGCUUAAGUAGACACCAAAUUUGGAAUAUCUCUUCCACUUCUAAGGAUCAAUUUUUUUGUGCCCUAUAUUUUAUUCAUUUUUUUAAGAGUUACCGCAAGUCUUCAAAACCGUAAGUAAAACAAAGUCUGUUGUACUGAAAUACAAUUUGGAACAAGGGGCUUCUGCUUGCAGCUUCCAUUUCUAUAGUGACCACACAAUAAUCAGUAUCAUCAAAUGCUACCAUUUUAGCUCAGAAAUGUGGUCUCUUUGUGUCUUAUUUCCCAAGUUUUUAAAAGCAGAUAAUCAGGAAUUUUUAUACUGUUUUAGUUUUGUCGCCACUAUUAUAGACUCUGGAUUUUCACACAGUAAGUGCUGAAGCCAAUGAGAUUAAGUAUUCACAGGGGGUGCAUGUGGGGCCCACAGCCUGGCAUGAAAAUUGAUUUCUAGUACACAAAUAAUUCAUUCUUUAUGACACCUCAGAAAGUGGUGUGAAUCUCGUUUCUAGGCAUUAGGUAUCAGGAUUUGUAACUCAAACCUUUUAAGACUUCUGAACAAAUAUUACUGGCAAAAAGCAAGGUGAGGAGGUGGAGAUGGGGAAUAAGAACUUGAAAAUCAAGUUCAAUUAAGAAUGAAACUAUAGAAGUACCUGGACUUUAGACUCUUAAAAAAAAAAAAAGGUACUUGACUACAUGUUAAGUUUGUGUUCCAGUGAUGUGACUAAUUAAAGCUACAUGUAACAUGACGGAUGGGGAUGCACUGACAUUACCAGAAGUUUAAUGCUGGAAGGCAUCCCACGUAUCAAUGCUAACCCAAACCUUACAGAGGGAAAACUUGAGGUGUAGGGUAAGUUCGAGGGUUUGUAGGAGUACAUAUAACAAGUUAGAGGAUAUGACGGGGUAAGAUUCUAGGUCUCCUUAUUCUCAAUCACUGAUUUUUAUUUAAACUGCACAAGAAGUACAUCGUGAAAAUAUAAAUAUGUUUACGCCUAUAUAUUGCUGAAAUAAUUCAUGUUAUCCGAAGUUGUAUUUGUCAGUCUUUAUCUCUAUCUGUAUUCUCCUAACUUUAUGGAUGAACUGCUUUCUGAUUUCUCAUUCUUGCUCUCUCUCUAAUUUAUUUACACCUGAAUUCUUUAAAUGAAAAAAAAAUCCAAAAAUUAGAACAUGGGUUUCCUUUAUUUACAGUGAGUACAGUUUGAAUGAGAUAAGCUAUUGCUAUACUCACAUUUCAUCAUAAAAUAAUCAAUUAGAUACCUCAAUUAUUUUUCAUGCAGAAAAAUUUCAUCAACAUAUGGCAAGAUACUCUGGUAUUCUAAAUUUUUUUUUUUUUUUUUUUAGACAGGGUCUUGCUCUUUCACCCAGGCUGGAGUGCAGUGGUGCAAUCUCGACUCACUGCAAGCUCCACCUC
rnacentral:lncRNA from 10 species